rnacentral:lncRNA from 10 species
UUUUAGUCACAUUUUUUCAUGUUGGUUGUCUUUCUAACAGAUUCCACAUUUCUGUGUGUGUGCGUGUGCAUGUGUGUGUGUGUGCACACACGCCAAGCCUUUUAUAUUUAAACCCUGUUGUUGCCAUUUUCAUUUCCUUGGGAAACACACACACUUACACAAAAACACACACAUCUUUUACUUGGAAAAUGGAUGAAUCCCGUGCUUUCUGAACACCUACUUAAAAGAGGCAUAUGCCAUCUCAGCAGGGUCCAGGGGCCAUCAACAGCAAGGGCUGGACUACUAGAGACAUCAUGGAAGGUGACCAAACACUCCCUCAGAGGCGUGGCCGGUUCAACAUAGAAGCUGCAAGAAGAUGGAGUAGAUGUCCUUUCCCCUUGUCCUCCCGCUGAGAGCCACUAAAAGCCGUGGACGCUAUGGAAGAAACAAACACAAGAUCUCUGCAAAGUGGACAGAGGUCAGACCGGCUCAGGACUAUGGAAACCAAGAAAUGACAUGCCACAUUCACCUGUGGAGCAGCAAGGCCGUGGAGGUGACCUGAACUUGUUGCCCUGUUCAGCCCAGAGGCUGUCCCUAUACUGACAGCAGAUUUCUUGCUUUGAAUUAUCUGUGUAAUAAAAGAGUCCUUCCGAGCUUCAACUGACAUUCUGAGGCUGAGAGAGGAAGAUCCAUUUUUUUCCCCAUCUAAUUCUUUCUUUCACUUUUUUUUUCUGAUGAUGAAAAAUUUUUUUUUUGGUUUGCAUUUUGGAGGAUUUUCUUAAUGUGCUGCAUACAGCUCUCGGCUUGUGGUCCACUGCGGGCUGUCUCUCCUCAGACUGGAAUGAUUAGGCAGUGAAAGAGACUUACCUUUUCCAAGGAGUACCUCUGUUUCAGAAUUCAGGGUGGAGCAUGCUGGCAACCUUUUGGGGGCACUUUAGAUAUGAAUGAGUUUGAAGGCGUAGCUAUGAUCCUUUCAGAGGCCAUUUAGUGCCAAACUGUAUCCUGUGAUUCAUGUGUAUAUCCAUCUGAUUAAAGACAAGACGGGUGAUAAAGAGAAAAUAAAAGAAAAUGAAGAAGAAAUAAAAGAAGUGUGAACUAGUCAGCCUGAGAAGCUUGUUCCUGUUCUUUCUAAUCAAAAAUUCAUUAUUUAAGUGUCAUACCUCUAUUCUGGGUACCUGUGAAACACAGCCCUGGGG